rnacentral:rRNA from 1 species
CAGCUGUAAACUAUGUGCGUUAGGUGUGUCAGUGACCACGUGUCACUGAGGUGCCGAAGGGAAACCGUGAAACGCACCGCCUGGGGAGUACGGUCGCAAGGCUGAACUUAAGGAUUGGCGGGGGAGCACCACAACGGGUGGAGCCUGCGGUUUAAAUCGGACUCAACGCCGGGAAUCUCACCGGAUAAGACAGCUGAAUGAUAGUCGGGAUGAAGACUCUACUUGACUAGCUGAGAGGAGGUGCAUGGCGUAGACGUCU